rnacentral:lncRNA from 1 species
UAGAAUGUAAAAAAAUAAAUAACAUAGAACAUAUUGGUGGAACUCAAAUGGAAUAGAACACAAUAACAAAAAACUGUUCAUCUUCUUCCACAUGCGACAUGAAUACUAAACUCUAAACUUUAAUCACUAAACCCUCAUCCAAAUAUAAACCCUAAACCCAAAUAUAAACCUUAAACCCAAAUAUAAACCAUAAACCCAAAUAGAAUGUAAAAAAAUAAAUAACAUAGAACAUAUUGGUGGAACUCAAAU